rnacentral:rRNA from 1 species
AUUGAACGCUGGCGGCAUGCCUUACACAUGCAAGUCGAACGGUAACGGGCCUUCGGGUGCCGACGAGUGGCGAACGGGUGAGUAAUGCAUCGGAACGUACCUUUCAGUGGGGGAUAACGUAGCGAAAGUUACGCUAAUACCGCAUAUUCUGUGAGCAGGAAAGCAGGGGAUCGCAAGACCUUGCGCUGAUUGAGCGGCCGAUGUCAGAUUAGCUAGUUGGUGAGGUAAAGGCUCACCAAGGCGACGAUCUGUAGCGGGUCUGAGAGGAUGAUCCGCCACACUGGAACUGAGACACGGUCCAGACUCCUACGGGAGGCAGCAGUGGGGAAUUUUGGACAAUGGGGGCAACCCUGAUCCAGCCAUGCCGCGUGAGUGAAGAAGGCCUCGGUUGUAAGACUCUUCGGUCCGGGUAACGGAAA